AAGUUGGCCAUCCGCAAGCCAGGAAAAGAACUCUCACCAGAACCUGACCAUGCUCACACCCUGAUGUCAGACUUCCAGGCUCCAGAAUUACGUUCUGAUAGAAGGAAAAAGAAUAAAACAUGAUGGGUUCCAGGGACCCUUGAGGACAGGAAGCAGACUACAAGAGUUUACCUCUGGAUACCUAAAGUGCCUACAGAGGUUCUUGUUGGGGAAUCUGGAAUGUCAGCACUGUGUACAGCAGCACUAAUAGGAAGAGGCAGAGCCAGCUGUUGCCCACACUACCCGCCCCUCACCUCACUGCCUUUGUUCACCAACAUUUAUGAGGCCUGCCCAUGAAAAACCCAAGAGGAUGAAACAGAGAACUCCCAGGCCUUGCCCUGUAGUCACAGAGAACGGGAGACUGCCUGACUGUGGGCAUCACAAGAAUUUCAAGGCCCAGAACUUGGAAGUUAGGCCUGAAGGGAAUGGCUCACAGCAUCUCAGAGUGAUCACCUUCUACGGUAGGCAAAGUUGUUUCUGAGCUGAUGUAAUUGGAACUAUAGUAGCAGGGAGUCUGUCAUUCUAUCCUCCUUUGACUUGGGGGAGAUCCUGCUCUGCAGAAUUGUCAAGAAAUGCGAACUUUGGGUGCACUCUGAAAGAUAUAAGUGCAGCAGUGGGAAGCCACAUUCACCCUCCUACAUCUGUAUCUUCUUUAUAUCCUUUGCUACUUGUUAGCUCAUCCAGAACUAUACCAAAGUAAUAUCAACUUGAAUGGAAGCCAAGACUUUCUUCUCUCCAGUCCCCAAACCCAGACCAAAUUCCGUGGUCUAGUUUUCAGCUUACAUUAUAUGAUCCAGCUCCAUUCUUACAGUAAGCACAUUCAAUAAAAGACGACAAAUAAUUAAAAUGCAAAAAAGAU
rnacentral:lncRNA from 1 species